UCUUAUGGAUGAACAAAGAAAAUAGUUUCUUGAGAUAAAAUCAACUCUUGGUAAAGAUGCUGUGAA
rnacentral:pre_miRNA from 1 species